GACGAACGCUGGCGGCGUGCUUAACACAUGCAAGUCGAACGGAAAGGCCCUGCUUUUGUGGGGUGCUCGAGUGGCGAACGGGUGAGUAACACGUGAGUAACCUGCCCUUGACUUUGGGAUAACUCCAGGAAACUGGGGCUAAUACCGGAUAGGAGCUCCUGCUGCAUGGUGGGGGUUGGAAAGUUUCGGCGGUUGGGGAUGGACUCGCGGCUUAUCAGCUUGUUGGUGGGGUAGUGGCUUACCAAGGCUUUGACGGGUAGCCGGCCUGAGAGGGUGACCGGCCACAUUGGGACUGAGAUACGGCCCAGACUCCUACGGGAGGCAGCAGUGGGGAAUAUUGCACAAUGGGCGGAAGCCUGAUGCAGCAACGCCGCGUGCGGGAUGACGGCCUUCGGGUUGUAAACCGCUUUCGCCUGUGACGAAGCGUGAGUGACGGUAAUGGGUAAAGAAGCACCGGCUAACUACGU
rnacentral:rRNA from 1 species